AAGCUCGUAGUUGAAUUUCGGGAUUAGUACGUCGGUCGUGCCUUAGGUACGUACUGGUGUUACUGGUUCCUACCUUCUGACGAACCAUCAUGUCAUUAAUUUGGUGUGGUGGGGAAUCAGGACAGUUACUUUGAAAAAAUUAGAGUGUUUAAAAGCAGGCUCGCGCUUGAAUACAUUAGCAUGGAAUAAUGAAAUAGGACGUUGAUCCUAUUUUGUUGGUUUCUAGGAUUGACGUAAUGAUUAAUAGGGAUAGUUGGG
rnacentral:rRNA from 1 species